rnacentral:rRNA from 1 species
CCAAGGAGUCUAACACGUGCGCGAGUCAUUGGGUAUGCUCGAAACCUAAAGGCGCAGUGAAAGCAAGCACCGGCCGACCACGUCGGCCGGGCUCGAGACGAUGGAGGUGCUCCGACGUGACCCUCCCGCAGUCUCGGGGCGAUCCGUGCCACUUUGUGGCUGAGGUCGCACCUGGAGCGUACGUGUUGGGACCCGAAAGAUGGUGAACUAUGCCCGGUCAGGACGAAGUCAGGGGAAACCCUGAUGGAAGUCCGAAGCGCUUCUGACGUGCAAAUCGAUCGUCCGAGCUGGGUAUAGGGGCGAAAGACCAAUCGAAUCAUCUA